rnacentral:rRNA from 1 species
GGAUUAGGCAUGCAAGUCGAACGAGAACCCAUUUCGGUGGGGGACAGUGGCGAAAGGGUGAGUAACGCAUAGACAACCAACCUCCGACUCCGGGAUAACUGAGAGAAAUCACAGCUAAUACCGGAUAGGCUCGAGUUGCCUCCUGGUGGCUCGAGUAAAGGGGCCUCUGAAUAUGCUUCCGGUUGGGGACGGGUCUAUGUCCUAUCAGCUAGUUGGUGAGGUUACGGCUCACCAAGGCGAUGACGGGUAGCCGACCUGAGAGGGUGACCGGCCACACUGGGACUGAGACACUGCCCAGACUCCUACGGGAGGCUGCAGUCGAGGAUCUUCCGCAAUGGGGGAAACCCUGACGGAGCGACGCCGCGUGCGGGAUGAAGGCCUUCGGGUUGUAAACCGCUGUCAAAGGUUAGGAAAGGAUUUGGGGUUAAUAGCGCCAGAUCUUGACAAAGGCCUGAGAGGAAGCCACGGCUAACUUCGUGCCAGCAGCCGCGGUAAGACGAAGGUGGCAACCGUUGUUCGGAAUCACUGGGCAUAAAGCGCACGUAGGCGGCGUCGUAAGUCGGGUGUGAAAUCCCUCGGCCCAACCGAGGAACUGCGCCCGAUACUGCGGCGCUUGAGGGCAGGAGGGGAGCACGGAAUUCCCGGUGGAGCGGUGAAAUGCGUUGAUAUCGGGAGGAACACCGGCGGCGAAGGCGGUGCUCUGGUCUGCUUCUGACGCUGAGGUGCGAAAGCCAGGGGAGCAAACGGGAUUAGAUACCCCGGUAGUCCUGGCCGUAAACGAUGGGCACUAAGUAGAGGGGUUUU